UGGGGAAUAUUGCACAAUGGGCGAAAGCCUGAUGCAGCGACGCUGCGUGAGGGAUGACGGCCUUCGGGUUGUAAACCUCUUUCAGCAGGGACGAAGCGCAAGUGACGGUACCUGCAGAAGAAGCACCGGCUAACUACGUGCCAGCAGCCGCGGUAAUACGUAGGGUGCAAGCGUUGUCCGGAAUUACUGGGCGUAAAGAGUUCGUAGGCGGUUUGUCGCGUCGUUUGUGAAAACCAGCAGCUCAACUGCUGGCUUGCAGGCGAUACGGGCAGACUUGAGUACUGCAGGGGAGACUGGAAUUCCUGGUGUAGCGGUGAAGUGCGAAGUUAUCAGGAGGAACACCGGUGGCGAAGGCGGGUCUCUGGGCAGUAACUGACGCUGAGGAACGAAAGCGUGGGUAGCGAACAGG
rnacentral:rRNA from 1 species